rnacentral:rRNA from 1 species
AAUAGAUACCCUGGUAGUCCACGCCGUAAACCGAUGGAUACUAGCUGUUUGAGCGCAAGUUUGAGUGGCUAAGCGAAAGUGAUAAGUAUCCCACCUGGGGAGUACGGGCGCAAGCCUGAAACUCAAAGGAAUUGACGGGGGCCCGCACAAGCGGUGGAGCAUGUGGUUUAAUUCGAUGAUACGCGAGGAACCUUACCAGGGCUUAAAUGUAGAUUGACGUAUUUGGAAACAGAUAUUUCUUCGGACAAUUUACAAGGUGCUGCAUGGUUGUCGUCAGCUCGUGCCGUGAGGUGUCAGGUUAAGUCCUAUAACGAGCGCAACCCCUGUUGUUAGUUGCCAGCGAGUAAUGUCGGGAACUCUAGCAAGACUGCCAGUGUAAACUGUGAGGAAGGUGGGGAUGACGUCAAAUCAUCACGGCCCUUACGUCCUGGGCCACACACGUGCUACAAUGGCCGGUACAGAGAGCAGCCACUUAGCGAUAAGGAACGAAUCUAUAAAGCCGGUCACAGUUCGGAUCGGAGUCUGCAACG